UCCACAAUUCUUUUUUUUUUCCCAAACAUGAGAAAUCCCUAAAUCAAAGGAGAGCAGCGGUGCAUCUCCCUUCUCUCUCACGAUUCGUCGCCGCCAGACCCGCCGGAGCUCUAUCAUUUUCCUUUUCACUCCAAUUUCUCCCAAUCACUUCCCCAUUGCCUAAAUCCUUAAUUUCAUCAGAGGCGGCGCCUCCCUCAAAUUCUGCUGCCGUCGUUUCUUUCCUCGCGACGGAGAGUCAUCGCCGGCUGCCCCUCGGUCCUCUCCCCCUCUUUUUCUCCAAAUCUGAAAAUUGGAGAAACCCUUAUUGAGGCAGCAGCAUCUCCGUCGAGCUCUCUCUCUUUCUCUGGCGACCGGCGAACUCGCCGCUCCCCUGCGUCGCCGGCUCCGCCUCCUCUGCCGUUCACGCCUUCCUCCGGCGACGCGGCACUUCGGGCAAGAGCCAUCUUUCUCCCAAAGCUAAGUUCCUUAUUUGAUUCUUCCUAGUGUAGUUAUUUGAAAUUUGAGCAAUUUCUAUGACAACUGUAACUUGAGCAUUAGGGGACCUCUUUGGUUUUGCUGUGAUCGAUUUGAUUUCUUGGAGGGGUUGAGCAUGUGGCAGAUUGCAACUGAACUUAGGCUUAGAGUUAUGAAUUUAUUUGUUGGCUGUGGGGAAAAGUUUCGACAUUAACUGGAGGAGCUUGCAUAAACAUGAGAUUUUUCCUAUGUUAUGUAUAGUACUAUUUAAGCUGCUGAUCUUGGUGUAAAGGUAGUAACUUGAGGCUUCUAGUUCUAUUAUUUCUACAUGAUGACAUAAAAGAAAGGGUAUUUAGACUUGGGAUGGGGGAAAAGUUACCUGUUGAGAGGCUGUGAAGAAAUGAGGAUGAACUCUCUCUUGCUGUUGCUAGUUCUCGAUUCUCACUAGAAAAUGCUGAAUUUUUUAUGUGUGUGGAAGGGGAAAUUUGAUGCAUAUGAUGGGGUUUUUUUAUAGGCAAAACUUGGUGUAUCUUGGGAGAGUUAAUGGGCUGAUCCUCUUUUGUCUUCAUGUUGGCAUAUCUCUUUUUUUUGUACUCAUUGCAGCCUUUCACAUAAGAGACUUGGUGUUAUUUGUGGUACUAGGUGUUUGACUAAUAAAUUCAUCUUGUUCCCAUGUGGCCUCUUAGUACUUAGCUAUUAACUUCUCUUGUUUGCUUAUGGCUGGUGAGAAAAACAGGUGCUGCCAAGGGGUGUAAGGUUUUGGCAAGGUUUGACUUGCUCUUUUUGGUUGGCCUCCUAUGGUUAAAGGGGGGUGUCUUCCUUCCUUGCUUAGUGUAAAGUUCAGUUUGGCACCUCACCAGUCAUCUUUAUUGCCUUUGUUUGUUGGUGCAGCUCUCGGUUGGGAGGGGAAGAGGGCUGGAGGUUUUCUGCCAUUUCAGACUCUUAUCCAAAGAUGGAGGAGUAGGUUAAGCUGCUAAAGGGCUGAUUUUCGGGCUGCCGUCCCUCCUUUACCGGGCCGAACCAUCGGGCUUCAAAAGAUGCGGCCUGUGCUUGAAGAGGAGAGGGUCCGCUGUUUAUUUUUUUUUUGUAUUCUUAAGUUCCUUCCCAACAACUUGUAUGAAAGGAAGUUGUGAAGGCGUAGUUUGAUAUAUCUAUGUAUAAUAAAAAUUUGGACACCUUUAGUUCGUGAAGAAAAUCCUUAAAUUCUUGUACAACAUUCAUUGUAUUCUAUAAACAUACUUUAGAUUGUCUUA